AGAGAUUCCUUAGGGAAUUCCCCGAAACCGAAAGCCCGAUCCUUCUGGGAACCAGGGGACCUGACCCUGUGAAAAAUCCGGAAACCUUGGGGACAAACAGAUUAGAUACCCCUGGUAGUCCACGGCCCUUAACGGAUGGAAGUUAGUCCGUUGGGAGUGCUAGCCACUCCCAGUGAAGCAGCUAACGCAUUAAACAUUCCGCCUGGGGAGUACGGCCGCAAGGUUAAAACUCAAAGGAAUAGACGGGGACCCGCACAAGUGGUGGAGCAUGUGGUUUAAUUCGAAGAUACGCGAAGAACCUUACCUGGCCUUGACAUAUACCAGAAUCUGCCAGAGAUGGUGGAGUGCCUUCGGGAGCUGGUAUACAGGUGCUGCACGGCUGUCGUCAGCUCGUGUCGUGAGAUGUUGGGUUAAGUCCCGCAACGAGCGCAACCCUCGUGACUAGUUACUAACAGCAUAGGCUGAGGACUCUAGUCAGACUGCCUUCGUAAGGAGGAGGAAGGUGAGGACGACGUCAAGUCAUCAUGGCCCUUACGGCCAGGGCGACACACGUGCUACAAUGGGAAGGACAAAGAGAAGCAAAACUGUGAGGUGGAGCAAAUCUAUAAACCUUCUCUCAGUUCGGAUUGCAGUCUGCAACUCGACUGCAUGAAGCUGGAAUCACUAGUAAUCGUGAAUCAGCCAUGUCACGGUGAAUACGUUCCCGGGUCUUGUACUCACCGCCCGUCACACCAUGGGAGUUGAUUUCACCCGAAGCGGGGAUGCUAAAUAGGCUACCCGCCACGGUGGAAUUAGCGACUGGGGUCGAAGUCGUAACAAGGUAACCGUAGGAGAACCUGCGGGUG
rnacentral:rRNA from 1 species